AGGACUACCUGUAAAAAGAAAUUCCCCGGUAUUAAAUUAAAAAGCAUUGAGCAACAGCAACAUAGGACUGGUCAUUAUAGCACUAAAGUAAGAAGAUAUGAGAAACAGUCUUGUUUUAGCUAAAAGCCUGGAAAGAAAAAUAAAGUACAAGAGCUAGCAAAUCCCUUUAGGCAAGGCGUUUUCUAAGGGGAUACUACUUGAGAAAAGAUCUUGCUCCUAACAAAGUCUACCAAGUCUUAAUCAGCAAUAAUACCAGGCGCAAAAUGUUUUAUAAGAGCAGAGGAGUGCAAAUAUUAUGUUAUCUUUCUAAAGCGGGAAGCUCAAAAGACAAGUAAUAGUGUUUGUGAGUUUUGCCAGCAAGAUAAGAUGGAAUCAGUUAUUAAUCUUAUCAUUUUACUACCAUUGCAAAAACAUAAUUUUGCAGUAUCUUUUUAGUUUUAUCAAAACUAAAAAUUGAUUACAUAUUAUUUUUCGAUAGAUUGAAGAACUGAAGCAUUCACAAAAGAUAGAAAUAACAAACAUCAAGCUGGAAACAGCAAGAGCAAAGAGUGAGAUAGAAAGAGAAAGGAACAAGAUUCAAAGUGAACUUGAUGGAUUACAUUCAGAUAAUGAAAUACUUAAGAAAACUCUUGAGCGGCACAAAGUGCUUUCAGUAGAAAAGGAUCGUGAAUUAGUACGUAAAGUACAAGCUGCAAAAGAAGAAGGCUUCCAGAAACUUGCAGCAUUACAGGAGGAGAAGUUAGAACUUGAAACUAAAUUAACUGAACUAGAGAAGAUCAGAAUGGAACAAGAUACUCAGAGGCAAUCAGAGAAGGAUCAGUAUGAAGAAAAGAUUUCUUCUAUGCGCUUGGAAGAAGACUCCACUAGAAGGGAAAUCCAGAGUCUU